rnacentral:rRNA from 1 species
AACGCGAAGAACCUUACCAGCCCUUGACAUGGUCGGACGGUUACCAGAGAUGGUUUCCUUCACUUCGGUGACUGACACACAGGUGCUGCAUGGCUGUCGUCAGCUCGUGUCGUGAGAUGUUGGGUUAAGUCCCGCAACGAGCGCAACCCUCGCCCUUAGUUGCCAUCAUUCAGUUGGGCACUCUAAGGGGACUGCCGGUGAUAAGCCGGAGGAAGGUGGGGAUGACGUCAAGUCUUCAUGGCCCUUACGGGCUGGGCUACACACGUGCUACAAUGGCGGUGACAGAGGGCUGCUAGGCCGCGAGGCCAUGCUAAUCCCUAAAAGCCGUCUCAGUUCGGAUUGCACUCUGCAACUCGGGUGCAUGAAGUCGGAAUCGCUAGUAAUCGCAGAUCAGCACGCUGCGGUGAAUACGUUCCCGGGUCUGUACACACCG